GUCCCCAUCGUCUAGAGGCCUAGGACACGUCCCUUUCACGGACGCGACCGGGGUUCGAAUCCCCGUGGGGACGCCA
rnacentral:tRNA from 1 species